AUGUCAACAAAUAAUAUAUAUAGUUUGUUUGUUUGUGUUUUUUUUUUUUUGGUGGUGGUGGUUUGCUAACCUAUUUUAUGUUCUAUGUAAAAAUCUGACUUGGAUGAACUUGACCUCUCCUACAUGAAUUGGUAACUUGGCUUACCGAACAAUCUGAUUGAUUUCACUAUAGGGUGGCAUUUCUCAAGUAAUCCAAUAUGGUUCUCAAUUAGCAGCUGUGAGAGCGUACUCUUUUGAGGGAAAUUUUCAUCGAGGAGAAGAAAGUAUGUGUAAGAGAGAUUUUGUGAAGCUUUUUGAAGAGGCUUGAUCUAUUUUUUCACAUUUCAAGCAGAUUCAUGGGCUACAUAUAAAUGGAGCCUUUUAUCCAGAAAAUAUAUUUAGAAAAUAUUGUUCAUCAAAACAAAGAGGUCAUGGCACUAGCCUCUUUAGUUUGCUUCAUUCAAAAUAUUUCUUUACAUUCUGAAUUAUUUUCUUGUCGAAAAUUUUCUUUCAAAAGAUUUCGUAGCAGAGCCCUAGGCCCUAUUCUUUUUAAUCUUUACUUCACCAUGAACCCCAAAAAAAUUUAAUCAUGUUUUUCUAUUAGUUUUGAACUUUCAAGACAACUUUAAGUAGAUUAAUUAUUUCUUUAGUGGGAAAAAUAGAAUAACCGUGAAACAACAUCCAUGUAGCAACCCCGAGUAGUUGAAAAAUCUCUCUAAAGCAUCUUGUCAACUGGGACUAGCUCAGUUGGCCAGAACCCUUACACCUCAUUAGGAGGUCAAGGGUUCAAGUCUUGCUUAGGCAAGACUCCCCCCUCCUCCAGGCUAUGGCUUUUUAUGUGCCAAGACAAAACAAACAAAAAAAGCAUUAUACUUCAUUUGGUAAGAAGAAUGGAGAAGUGAGAGGAAGGAAAGUUAGUAGCAUGAAUAGAAAAGGUUACCUAUGGCAAAAGGAAACCAUAUCUUCCUGCAUUUGCUUGAUUGAGCAUGUCAGAAAGGAGGUAGGAAAAGGGUGAUAUUGUUAAGUCACCAAUUUCCCCAAAAGCCUAAGUUUACUAGGAAAUAGGCCCAACAAUGUAUAUCAAGCUAUCUAAUACCCUCCCUCACGUGCAACCCCGUCUUGCAUGUGCAGAGACAAACAGAGAAUCAAACAAAAAGAGAGGCAAACAACCAAACAAAGAGGAAGAAACCAAACACGGACAGAAUACAGAAUGCCAAUGGAGAGAUUUGAACCCAAGAUCUCGUUUUAACCAUAGCUCUGAUACCAUGUUAAGUUAUCAAUUUUUUCAAAAGCCUAAGCUAUUAGGAAAUGUGCCCAACAAUGUAUAUCAAGCUAGCUAACAGAUAUUUCAUCCACCAUGUACUCUCUUUACCUCUCUGUAUAUACUUUUGGAUAGAAAGGAAAUGGUCUACUCAAAUGGAAACUCUUCCCUUCCCCUUUCCUUGGAAUAUUUUCAGUCUCCUCUUUUUUCUUACUGACUUUUUUCUUGACAUUGGAGUAUUAGGGACAAGUUGGGGGCUAGUUGACUUCACCGAGACAAAACUAAGAUGGUUUAAGUAUAUAAACAUAGAUAUUGAUCUUCCACACUCCUCUCUUGGAAAAUAAGAUGUAAGUAGAGAUGGCAACGGGCCAAGGCGGGGUUGGGGAUCACACUCCCGUCCCCGAUCCCCGAUGGUGGAAAUUUCCUCAGCCCCAAUCCCCGACGGGGAACCUAUCACCGUCUCCGCCCCCUAACGGGAUCAAGUUUCCCCGUCCUUGAACAUUCCCCGCCCAAAAAAAUUAAAAAAUAAAAAAGAAACGAAACAGCAGCAAUAGCAACAGCAACAUAUCAAGAUCAUCGGAGCCAAUGAUUUCACCUCCAAAAUCAACAGCCCCCUCUGUGUGUGUGUGUGUGUGUGUGGGCGCGUACAGGGGGAAGUUUGGAUCAUCUCCAUCUUCUUUCUUGACCAAAAACAAAAAAAAACAACAGCAGCAAUAGUGAGUUUAAAAAAAAAAAAAACAAGCAGCAACAGCCACGUGAGGGAG